rnacentral:lncRNA from 1 species
UCUCUCUCUCUCUCUCUCUCUCUCUCUCUCUCUUCGUUUCUUCUUCAAAUCGAGUCGUUCCCUUCUCCUUUCCGCUUCUCUUUCCUCCGCCUUCUGCUCUACAUUUUCUCUCUCACUUUCUCUCUGCUCGCUUCUUCCAAUUCUUGGAGUAUCCUUUUCUUGGAUUCUUCUCUGGGCUUCUUUUCUUCUUCUAGGGUUUCUAGGGUUUUGGGCGCUCCAUUCGCUGGAGCGAGCUCGAGCAAAGUGAGGACUGGGCCCGCCCGCUUUCCCACUGGUCUUCCUCGCUUCUUCAAUUGAGCUGGAAUUGGACGGUUUUGCGAGGCGCUGAUCUGGAGAUUGCAGGAGGAGAUUGUGGGAUUUUGCUCGUUCCGGGUGUUCGGAUGGCUUGGCUUUGAUAAGUAAGAGGAUCGUUACUUUUGCUGAUUCUGUUUUAGUGAAUGAAUUGGUUUUGUUUUGUUUCUUUUUGUUCGUUUUAGUGGACGGUUGCGAUUUUAGAUCGGUGUUGGGGAGAAGGAUGAGAUCGGGCGUUAAAGCUUGGAUUUUUGGUUGCGAGUAGGUCAGUUGGACCCUUUUUUUCUCUGAUUUGAUCUCUUUGUUGGGAUGUUUUGAUUUCAGGGUGGUAUCAUUGUUAGAAAAGUAGGGGUGGUUGGUGAGAUGCUGAAAUAGCAGAAAGUUUUCCUCCUUUUUUCUUUAAAUUUUGUGGAAUGGUGAAGAAAUGAACAUGAUGGAUGUGUGGUAUUGUGUCAGCAAGUGGAUUUAGGAGAGAAGUAGUGAAAUCCUUUAAGUGACGUUCUCUUUUUGUGGUUUCUAUGAAAUUUAUAUGUUUCAUAGUUGUCUUUGGAGUGAAUUCAUUGACAUCUUAGUGUAGUUUUGGAAGUAUCCGGGCUGGUAAGGUUAGUUUGCCUUUAUUCCAAUAACCGACCAACUUAUUUUAUUUUCAGCUGAUAUGCCAGCAAAUGUUAGAUAUAUGUUCUAGAAGCCAAUAUCGCUACACAUUGCAAUAAAUGUAGGAUACAAUUUUGUACUUAAUAUAUUGAUUAUAUUAAUAAAAGAUAAAUUUAUUUUUCAUUGAUGUGUUCUUGAAUCGUCCAUGAAAUUAAUCUUCGAUACAUAUUCUCAGGACGUUGAGAAUUAGAGAUGUGUAUUUAAUUCUUAAAUAUUUUCGGUCAUAGGAUCAUUAUGAAGACAGUGAUCAAUCCGGAUAAACUGACGUAUAGAUCGUUUUUUUCGAAAUAGAUGAAUCUCUAAUCUACAGUGUAGAGAUAUUGGACGACGAGUGUGGAUAGUUGUUAGAGAACAACUAAUACUGAGCGUGACCAUAUGAGAGAUCACUUGGAUUUUUAUUCAAUUGUCUGUGAUUGUCUCGAUGCUGUAGUUGUGUGAAUGAUCUUUUGAUCUGAGAUUGUACUACUAUUCACAGUGAGGCUGCUGGAGUUUAACUGAUACAUAAACAUGGGUCUUAAUGAGUCUUUGUAGUGGAUGUUGACGACAGUUGGUCUACUGUAGGAGUAGGGUGCACAUCAAGAUUGGAUCUAUCAACCUUGAUCGAGAGGAGUAGUUCUAUGAGAAUUGAAAGGCUAAGUUCAAGGAUCUAUGGCCAUAUUAGUGUGGUUGAUGGAAAAAAUUUUCAUAGGAAUCACAUUUGGACUUGAGCUAAUCGAAUCUAUUAUAUGACUGAUGUUGAGGUUUGACGAUUUAUCUAUGAUCUGCCAUCAAGUCGGGAUUCACGGUGAAGAGAUUGAAUCACACGUUAACUACUCUUAGAGGUUCAUUUCAAUUCUACUGAAUUGCCACUACAUACUGCUAGGUGUCACUGGUGGAUUGUGAGAGCUCACUAGGAUUGUUCUGGAUCGACAAUCUUUAAUGAGUUAGAGUAGAAUUGUUCCAACCCAUUGAAAAGAGUUUCAAUGAUAUUUUGAUAGAGAUUAUUGUAUAUCUCACUACCGGAUAGAAUUGAACCUAUGGGGUCAUACAACAAAGAGAUUAGAUCUGUAAUUAGCAAUUGAGCUUAUGAAGUAUCAAUUGGGUUUAGAAAAAUCCGAUUGGGUUCAAGGUAAUCUUGCUAGCACAUGGAUGGACCCAAUUUUUUUUCUGUUUUGGAUUUUUUAUUUGAUAAGAUAAUUCAAACUUAAUUACUUGCUAAUAACCUAAAUGAAUAAGAUUUAUUUGACUCCAAUUAUUGGGUGUCUAAGAUUUUGGAUCAUAUAAAUUAAGGGUGCAAGUCUCUAAUCAAUUUUCUUGAUAGUUAUUCUUGGACGUCAUUUUGAUUUGAUCAAGUUGGAUGUGUCCUAUGAUUAGAGGGCUUAUUAAUCUGAUAUGGGGCAUCUCUUGGGUGCAAAAGAGGGUGUGUUCAAUUGGGUGCAAGGGCUCCA